AUCUGAUUUAAUGACAGCUGCUGAGGGAGUUGGUCACAGAGUGCUGGAUUCUCUGGCUUCUGGCAACCCCGUAUGUAGUAUGACGUGUUGAUUUAUUUAUUUCCAGCAACUGAGGAGAGCUUGUCCCUGAUAAAAGUCCCUGGUUUGAUGAUCUCAAUGGUACGAGCAUAUGGACAAGAAAGUUGGCCCUAACGGGAAGUUUGAGAUUUGUGAGCAAUGAAUGAUUAAGCACUCACAGAAUCCAUUGUUUCUCCUCAGAGAUCCUCCUGCCUGUCUGAAGGCAACGUCUGCCUGCUGAAUGGCUCAGUGUCUGCCAUUUCAAACAUGGCUUACGUACUUGCCUGUGCUAUUUAGUUCCAGGAACUGCUCAUCUGUGCUACAGACGCAUGCUGCUCAACCUUCAGUGUGUCAUGCUGCUCUUCAGAAUGACUUCCAGUGCAGAAUUGAUGUUCUGACGACUACAGUCAUGGUCUGCUGCUGCUGCAGGUCUACUCUUGCUAAACUGAAGAAGACUGUGUCUGCUGGGUCAUCAAAGAUGGAUGUUACAGUGCUGCCUACACAUGCUAACUCCAGCUGACAAGGAGGGAAAAAAGGGAGCUUCAUUGAGUUACUACAGCUUUGAUCCUCUGUAGAAGAAAGGAGAUGCUCUGCAGUUGAGUAGUGAUGUAUCUACUGGGAGUGAGAAAUGGCAUCUUCUUUCCUUUUCAUCUAUUUCCUUAUGCAUAUCAAAUAAUCUACUUCUGCUGCCCACACUUGAAUAGGCUCUCCAUGAG
ensembl:lncRNA